GAGAUUCGAGGCACACGCGUGUGCAUAUGAAGCGCGCAUGUGGAAAAACGCAAGUGGCGCCGUCUUUCGAGAACCCCGCGAAAAUCCAUCAGUUUUUUCCAUAUUUCCUCAAGAAAAUAUAUCCUCUUCGUUCGGGACCAACUCUUCAGAGUUAACCGCCAUAUAGCAAAGUACUCCUCUAUCUGGAAUUUUCCUGAUGGCGAGGUAAGCCCGUCCGUCCGGAGUUUUUCGAGAAACAAUUGGUUCGAUGGGACCGGGUCGAGGCAACUCGGGACAAUGAUCCGACAGAACGUUCGCCAUAGCUUCCGAGAGUGGUGGAAUUUCAGGAAUGGGUGGGGGUUGAUGGAAUAUUCCGUGCACUCGUCCACCCCUCGUCAUUAUUUUGAGGAGCUGAAUGUAGUCGUUCCGAUUUUUCGCAUCGUCGAUUGUGUCAUCAGGAAUACCCGCUAAACGUCUUGUCCAUUCGACUAUUCUCACUCGGUCUAUUAACCAACGAUCGAUCAAAAAACGUUUUUUUCGUUCAUGACAACAAAAAUUCAAAUAAUGAUGGAGAAUAAAAUGUAAAAAGCGAUCAAUCAGUGUUAACAGUGAAAUUCAUUUAAUAAAUAAUAAAUAAAAAAUUUCAUUCCUACAUGAAUGAAAUAUUCGCAAAAUAUUGAUAAAAGUAUACAAAAAUGUUGAUAAUUAUGAAAAUUAAUACGAUUUUUUAACAAUAUCAAAUUCAAAAACUUAAAAAAUCGCACUGUACAAAUAACUGAUAAAAUUGAGUAAUAAUAAUAUGAAGUGAAAUAAUAUUUGAUCUCCGACUCUUCAACGGCAUUGGAAAGUAAAAAUACGAAUUUUACAUAUUUACCGAAAGGAGAAUUAAAGAGUGGAACUCGUUGAACGAUUUCCCGCACCGCUUCUUUGAAUUCGGCAUUAUAAACUUUACUCAUACCGAGCCAGUGUUUCUCAAGCGUUUUAUGACAGCGGCAUGUGGAUUGAUAAGCAUAAACGAGCGACGAGUCGACGAACGGUUAAUCCGUCAUCCGUCAAAUUUUCGUCGAUUCGUUUUUUGUCUCCAUGGGAAACGGAACGAAAUAAUGAUUGAUAAAAAUACAACGGCUGCGUUGAUCCAGUGAAAAUCGCAAUAUCAUUAUUAUUCUCGAUACGUUUCAUGUACAUUAAUUAUAAUUAUCAAUUAAUUAGGUACAGGAACACUUUAACAUUCGUCACAUUAAUCAAUCGUAAUGAAUUGCGAAGCGGUACGAAAUUAAAAAAUAAAAAUAAGACAUUUUUCAAAAUCUAAA